rnacentral:rRNA from 1 species
AUGGGCUUUAAUAGAAGAUGGACGGAGCUAGUGAUGAAAUGUGUCACCACAGUUAAAUACCAAGUUAAGGUGAACGAGGAUACAACAAAUACUAUCAUUCCAGAGCGAGGGCUUCGCCAAGGUGACCCCCUCUCUCCCUAUCUCUUUCUAUUAUGUGCCGAGGGCUUCUCUACUAUGCUCCAUGAUGCUGAAAUAAAUGGUAGACUUAAAGGUAUUAAAAUAUGUAAUACUGCCCCAAGUAUAAGCCACUUACUAUUUGUAGAUGACUCUCUACUCCUCAUUGAAGCAAACACCAAUAGUGUA